UAUGACGGUACCCUUUCGAAUAAGAGGUUGCUAACUCUGUGCCAGCAGCAGCGGUAAUACAGAGACCUCGAGCGUUAUCCGGAUUUACUGGGCGUAAAGCGUCUGUAGGGGGUUUGUUAAGUUCCAAGUAAAAUCUUAAGGCUCAACUUUAAGUUCGCUUGGAAAACUAAUAAACUGGAGUCCAGCAGAGGUGCAUGGAACUUGCGGUGUAGGAGUGAAAUCCGUUGAUAUCGCAAGGAACACCAAAGGCGAAGGCAUUGCACUGGGCUGGUACUGACCCUGAGAGACGAAAGCGUGGGGAGCAAAACGGAUUAGAUACCCGUGUAGUCCACGCCGUAAACGAUGGAUACUAGAUGUUCGGGGAUUCGACCCCCUGGGUGUCACAGCUAACGCGUUAAGUAUCCCGCCUGGGAAGUACGGCCGCAAGGCUAAAACUCAAAGGAAUAGACGGGGAUCCGCACAAGCGGUGGAGCGUCUGGUUUAAUUUGAUAGUAAGCAAUGGACCUCACCAAGGUUUGACAUCCUAUGACAACCCUGGAAACAGGGCUUCCUUCGGGCAUAGUGACAGGUGCUGCAUGGUCGUCGUCAGUUCGUGCCGUGAGGUGUUCCGUUAAGUCGGGAAACGAACGAAACCCUCGUCGCAUGUUACAAAUUUCAUGCGAGACUGCCCGGGUCAACCGGGAGGAAGGCGGGGAUGACGUCAGAUCAGCAUGGCCCUUAUACCUUGGGCUACACAGGCGCUACAAUGGCCGGUACAAAGGGUUGCAAAACCGCGAGGUGAAGCUAAUCCCAUAAAGCCGGUCCAAGUUCGGAUUGGAGGCUGCAACUCGCCUCCAUGAAGUUGGAAUCGCUAGUAAUCGUGGAUCAGCCAUACCACGGUGAAUACGUUCCCGGAUCUUGUACUCACCGCCCGUCACACCAAGAGAGUUGGUAGC
rnacentral:rRNA from 1 species